rnacentral:pre_miRNA from 1 species
ACGACAUUCGGAUGGUUGGUCCAGCGAGCAAUAUCACCCGCUCGGUGGUAGAUCUUCUCUUCAUCGU